AAUCAUAGCUGCUCUGCUUUGACCGCCUCUCCGAGCUCUCCUCUGCCAUUGACGAGUUCUCAAGUGGGUAUCAACAAGACUGCGCGCGUGCCGGAGAACGAGGACGACUGAAAUCACAUAGAGGAAACUCGAAUACAAUAGUGGCUCUUGCUGGGAACAAGGCUGAUGUGUUAGAUACGAGGCAGGUGUCAGCAGAUAAGUUUGAACUUGAUUUGUGUUGCUGAGUGGUGCUUGCUGGACAUUGCUGGAUUUUUAGAUCCUAUAAGAACAAUGGCAUUAGGUAGACGUACUCAAAAUAGGACGGUGGCAGGCCUGUCUCCCUUUCCUCCUUUCGUGCUAUUUGACGAUAUUCAAGAUGUCAAUAACUUACCACAAGUCAAAAGUGUCUUUGCGAGAGUAGUUGUUAAGUUCCCUAGGCGUCGUAAUAGUCAACACUACAUCCUACAGGACAUCACUGGAUCCAAAAUCGAAGCAAUUUCUAACGGCAAUAAUGUCCAACGGUUCGAUGCCUUACUCACACAAGGAUGCACAUAUACAUUGUAUAGAGUGGCAUUUUGUCUAAACCGGGAGGAACUUCAAUUUCGCAAUAUUGGUCAUGGGCUAGAGUUGGGAUUGAUAACACAUACUAUUGUGGAUCCAUUCACGAAGCCAAUCCAAUUUCCUCCAUUUCCAAAGUAUCUUAUGCCAUUUCAUGAGGUUUACCAACAACCGCAUAAGACAUUCGUAGAUGUUAUUGGCAUAGUUCUUCAUUUGGAACCAUUAAAGCAUAUCGGUGGAAGACCGUAUAGAGAAGCUGUACUAAUGGAUUCUAGGUGGGAUCUAAUCAUCGUGGGGGUAUGGACUGACCUCUUGCAAAGAAAUGCUCUACGAUGGUCGUUAGCUAGAGUUGACAAGAACAUAAUUAUUGGAACUUUGCUGCGUUGUAACCAUAAGCACAGUAAUUUCUUCUGUGCCUAACAUCUUUCAAUAUAUACUUAAUUCUUACUCUUAUUAAUAAUUAUAUACUAUUAUUUUAUAACAAUAGGGUGCUUGGAAACCUCGGACCACAGCACUAUUCAUUUCAACCCGGAUCAUCACACUAAAUACCGCUUGAAGACAAUUCGUCGUUCGUUGAUUGACAAUCCAAGGAGUCGUUUCAUCGACAAAUUUCUAGAGAACAGACGAGCACAUUUGGCGACUGUAACAUCGGAUUGAGACAUGUGUUCUAGCUUGUUAUAGUAGAAUACUUUGUUAGUCAUGUAUCAGAUGAAACUUAUUAAUAAUGAUUUGUGUUCUGUUUUUA